rnacentral:rRNA from 1 species
UACGGGGGGGACUAGUGUUAUUCGGAAUGACUGGGCGUAAAGGGUGUGUAGGCGGUCUUAUAAGUUGAAAGUGAAAUCUCAAAGCUUCACUUUGAACGUGCUUUCAAUACUGUAAGACUUGAGUGUGGGAGAGGAUAGUGGAAUUUCUAGUGUAGAAAUAAAAUCCAUAGAGAUUAGAAGGAACACCGAAAGCGAAGGCAGCUAUCUUGACCAAAACUGACGCUGAGACACGAAAGCAUGGGGAGCAAACAGG